rnacentral:rRNA from 1 species
AUACGGAGGAUCCAAGCGUUAUCCGGAAUUAUUGGGUUUAAAGGGUCCGCAGGCUGUUUGUUAAGUUAGAGGUGAAAUCCUACCGCUCAACGGUAGAACUGCCUUUAAAACUGGCAAACUUGAGUUAUUGUGAAGUAAUUAGAAUGUGUAGUGUAGCGGUGAAAUGCAUAGAUAUUACACAGAAUACCGAUUGCGAAAGCAGAUUACUAACAAUUAACUGACGCUGAGGGACGAAAGCGUGGGUAGCGAACAGGAUUAGAAACCCUAGUAGUCC